UGGGGAAUAUUGCGCAAUGGGGGGAACCCUGACGCAGCCAUGCCGCGUGAAUGAAGAAGGCCUUCGGGUUGUAAAGUUCUUUCGGUAUUGAGGAAGGUUGAUGUGUUAAUAGUACAUCAAAUUGAUGUUAAAUACAGAAGAAGCACCGGCUAACUCCGUGCCAGCAGCCGCGGUAAUACGGAGGGUGCGAGCGUUAAUCGGAAUAACUGGGCGUAAAGGGCACGCAGGCGGUUAUUUAAGUGAGGUGUGAAAGCCCCGGGCUUAACCUGGGAAUAGCAUUUCAGACUGGGUAACUAGAGUACUUUAGGGAGGGGUAGAAUUCCACGUGUAGCGGUGAAAUGCGUAGAGAUGUGGAGGAAUACCGAAGGCGAAGGCAGCCCCUUGGGAAUGUACUGACGCUCAUGUGCGAAAGCGUGGGGAGCAAACAGGAUUAGAUACCCUGGUAGUCCACGCUGUAAACGCUGUCGAUUUGGGGGUUGGGGUUUAACUCUGGCGCCCGUAGCUAACGUGAUAAAUCGACCGCCUGGGGAGUACGGCCGCAAGGUUA
rnacentral:rRNA from 1 species